rnacentral:rRNA from 1 species
AUGGGGUACUCUAAAAACAUAGCGUCCGGCAUGUUUGCCAUGCUGCUCCUUGCUUCAGCCGUCCUGUCCUCCAACCCUCACCCUCUCCAGGACUUCUGUGUCGCCGACCUCGAUGGCAAGGCGGUCUCGGUGAACGGGCACAUGUGCAAGCCCAUGUCGGAGGCCGGCGACGACUUCCUCUUCUCUUCCAAGCUUGCCAAGGCCGGCAACACAUCCACCCCGAACGGCUCCGCUGUGACGGAUCUCAACGUGGCCGAGUGGCCUGGUACGAACACACUGGGUGUGUCCAUGAACCGUGUGGACUUUGCACCAGGGGGCACCAACCCACCGCACAUCCACCCGCGCGCCACUGAGAUCGGCAUCGUGAUGAAAGGUGAGCUCCUCGUUGGUAUCCUCGGCAGCCUCGACUCUGGGAACAAGCUCUACUCCAGGGUGGUGCGCGCUGGAGAGACGUUCCUCAUCCCGCGCGGGCUCAUGCACUUCCAGUUCAACGUCGGUAAGACGGAGGCCUCCAUGGUCGUCUUCUUCAACAGCCAGAGCCCCAGCGUCGUCUUCGUGCCACUCACGCUCUUCGGCUCCAACCCGCCCAUCCCCAAACCGGUGCUCACCAAGGCUCUCCGGGUGGAGGCUGGGGUCGUGGAACUUCUCAAAUCCAAGUUCGCUGGUGGGUCUUAA